UACAGAGGUCCCGAGCGUUGUUCGGAUUCACUGGGCGUAAAGGGUGCGCAGGUGGCUUGGCAAGUUUGAUGUGAAAGCCCCGAGCUCAACUCGGGAAUGGCAUUGAAUACUGCCGGGCUGGAGGUUUGGAGGGGGGACUGGAAUUCUCGGUGUAGCAGUGAAAUGCGUAGAUAUCGAGAGGAACACCAGUGGCGAAGGCGAGUCCCUGGACAACACCUGACACUGAGGCACGAAAGCUAGGGGAGCAAACAGG
rnacentral:misc_RNA from 1 species